UAACAGUCAGAUUCACACUGCUUAGUUC
rnacentral:piRNA from 1 species